rnacentral:rRNA from 1 species
ACGCUCGACACCUACGGAGGCAGCAGUGGGGAAUAUUGCACAAUGGGGGAAACCCUGAUGCAGCGACGCCGCGUGAGCGAAGAAGUAUCUCGGUAUGUAAAGCUCUAUCAGCAGGGAAGAAGAUGACGGUACCUGACUAAGAAGCACCGGCUAAAUACGUGCCAGCAGCCGCAGUAAUCUGAGCGGGCUGGCAAGGC